AAAUUAUCGAAUAAGUUGCAAUAAAGGUUUCAAAGUAAAACAAAGUGUCUUCUCGGAUACUAAGAAAUGGUAAGUUAAAUUGAAAGAGAACCAAAUCGUAAGAAAAAUUAACCUGAGCAAAGUUCGGUAAUACGUGUUUUCAAAUACAUCCUUUUUACGUUUUUCGCAAUCAUUUUAUUUUAAAACGCUUAAAAACAUACAAACAUAAUAUUAUUUAUUCAAAAUAACUAGCACAUUACAAAAAAACAAAAAAAAAAAAUCGAAAAAUGUCAAAUACCUAUGUAUAACUCAAAAAUCAUUAUAAUGUUCAAAAGUUUUAACCGUGAAUAGAAAAGUUCGAUAUCUGUAUUCUGUUAAAACUGAUUAGGUUUAUGAUUUCUGUAAAGUUUCCUGUGUUUCUUCAUUUUUUUCGGUUUUAGCCAAAUAAUUAUAAAAAUUACACUGAAAAUCAAACACUAUCUUGUGUACAUUAUACACUUGUUUUUUGUUACAAGAUUUCCUGUAGAAU